CCCUACACUAUGAAGUUAUAAAAUGUAAACUGACCAUUACAGCUGACUGGAAAUGAAAUGAUGAUUCGACAUUCUUAAUAUUUGAAAUCCGGUUAUGGAGUCCUACCCUGUAAUCACCAAAGGGAUAUGAUGAUAAGGAAAAUACUGAACUACUGAGAAGAUGUCAUCUUGGAUUAGAAAAGAGAGAGAGAGCCACAACUUGGAUUGACAGAGUAUGGAGCCUGAAGGAGCCCAGGUCCCUGAGACACGGUGGAACAAAGCCACUAUACUACCUCAGGACUCUGUACAGCCCUGCUUUAUAUAGAGGAGAAGUAAACUUCUAUCUUUUUAAAGCCCCUAUUUGUUGAAUUGUAUUGUCACAGCCAUAUCCAAUCUUAAGGAAUAUACAAAGAUUAUGCCAUGGCUUUUGUAGCCCAAUUGGCUAUCUAGGCAAGUAAAAUAAUCUGAAUGAUG
rnacentral:lncRNA from 1 species